rnacentral:rRNA from 1 species
AGUGAACGCUGGCGGUAGGCCUAACACAUGCAAGUCGAACGGCAGCACAGUAAGAGCUUGCUCUUACGGGUGGCGAGUGGCGGACGGGUGAGGAAUACAUCGGAAUCUACUUUUUCGUGGGGGAUAACGUAGGGAAACUUACGCUAAUACCGCAUACGACCUACGGGUGAAAGCAGGGGAUCUUCGGACCUUGCGCGAUUGAAUGAGCCGAUGUCGGAUUAGCUAGUUGGCGGGGUAAAGGCCCACCAAGGCGACGAUCCGUAGCUGGUCUGAGAGGAUGAUCAGCCACACUGGAACUGAGACACGGUCCAGACUCCUACGGGAGGCAGCAGUGGGGAAUAUUGGACAAUGGGCGCAAGCCUGAUCCAGCCAUGCCGCGCGGGUGAAGAAGGCCUUCGGGUUGUAAAGCCCUUUUGUUGGGAAAGAAAAGCAGCAGGUUAAUACCCCGCUGUUCUGACGGUACCCAAAGAAUAAGCACCGGCUAACUUCGUG